rnacentral:rRNA from 1 species
UACGGAGGGGGCUAGCGUUGUUCGGAAUUACUGGGCGUAAAGCGCACGUAGGCGGCUUUGCAAGUUAGAGGUGAAAGCCCGGGGCUCAACUCCGGAAUUGCCUUUAAAACUGCAUCGCUAGAAUUGUGGAGAGGUAAGUGGAAUUCCGAGUGUAGAGGUGAAAUUCGUAGAUAUUGGGAAGAACACCGGUGGCGAAGGCGGCAUCCUGGACCGAUACUGACGCUGAUGAGCGAAAGCCAGGGGAGCAAACGGG